CACACCAAUUGAUAACACACUUUACUUGAUGAAGAUUGACUUCAUUUAUCGUCAUGUCAAAUUCUAUGCAGUGUUCGAUUUGUAAUUUUCUUAUAAGGGUAGAUAACGCCAGCCCCACUGCAUUCUAUCAGCACGUGAAGCAUGAACUCAGCCAUAAAGCCCCAUUUCACGUUGUGUGCUGGCAUCCUGGCUGAGAUAGCCAUUUUCAAGUUUUUCAUUCAUUUAGACGCCAUUGGAAUAGACAUCAUGGAAAUUGUCAAGUGGAUAACAAUUUACACAGUGUACACUGUGUGUUGAUGAUAGCAAUGAUAGCUGAUGUUGCUGGUGUACCUUUAUCACCAGCAGCUGUUGAGGGACCUUUGUCAUCAGCUUAUGAUGGACCUUUGUCAUCAGCUUCCGAUUGACCUUUGUUGCCAGCAGCAGAUCCCGUGACACAGCAGAUAAUUGGCAAACUUUUGAUGCUGGAUAAUGUGAUAGACAAUCUUUAAAUUUCCUCUCCUGACAACCAGGAAUGGGAGUCUAGAAUGUUAUUCCAACUACAUCACACAUUUUUAUACCUUUUGAGCAUUCAAUUAGUGUCAGAUGCCAUUCAUGAAAACUAUGCACCAUGUGCAUUCCUCAUUCAGUGUCUAUAUGUUUACAUUAUUACUCCUGGUGUUAUAUAAUCAAUUAUGUUUAUUUUUAUUAUUUUUAAUGCUGAUGGCAGGCAACAUUCCCUGUAAGGAUUCAUGCAUUCAACUCCAACUUGUAUUCCAGUGUCAUACCUAUAUUACUGAACUAAAAUAACACACAUGCAUCAGUUA